rnacentral:rRNA from 1 species
GACGAACGCUGGCGGCGUGCUUAACACAUGCAAGUCGAACGGUAAGGCCCUUCGGGGUACACGAGUGGCGAACGGGUGAGUAACACGUGGGUGAUCUGCCCUGCACUUCGGGAUAAGCCUGGGAAACUGGGUCUAAUACCGGAUAGGACCACUGCCUGCAUGGGUGGUGGUGGAAAGCUUUUGCGGUGUGGGAUGGGCCCGCGGCCUAUCAGCUUGUUGGUGGGGUGAUGGCCUACCAAGGCGACGACGGGUAGCCGGCCUGAGAGGGUGACCGGCCAAACUGGGACUGAGAUACGGCCCAGACUCCUACGGGAGGCAGCAGGGGGGAAUAUUGCACAAUGGGCGCAAGCCUGAUGCAGCGACGCCGCGUGAGGGAUGACGGCCUUCGGGUUGUAAACCUCUUUCAGCACCGACGAAGCGCAAGUGACGGUAGGUGCAGAAGAAGGACCGGCCAACUACGUGCCAGCAGCCGCCGUAA